rnacentral:rRNA from 1 species
CUGAAUGGGGCAACCCACUAUAUUGAAGGUAUAGUAUCCCGCAAGGGAAGUGAACCCGGUGAACUGAAACAUCUAAGUAGCCGGAGGAAGAGAAAACAAAAGUGAUUCCGGGAGUAGUGGCGAGCGAAACCGGAUUAGCCCAAACCAGUGUUGUUUCGGCAAUACUGGGGUUGUAGGACCACGACAUUGAUUGCGUAAUGAAUUAGAACACUUUGGAAAGAGUGACCGAAGAGGGUGAUAGUCCCGUACAAGUAAAGAGCGUUAAUUAUAGUGGUAUCCUGAGUAGUGCGGGGCACGUGAAACCCUGUAUGAAUCAAGCGGGACCAUCCGUUAAGGCUAAAUACUCCGAGAGACCGA